GCUUACGGCCACACGGCCGCCUGAGUACGCCUGAUCUCGUCCGAUCUCGGAAGCUAAGCAGGGUCGGGCCUGGUUAGUACUUGGAUGGGACCGCCUGGGAAUACCAGGUGCUGUAAGCU
rnacentral:rRNA from 1 species